rnacentral:lncRNA from 1 species
UUAGGAAUAGGGUACCAAGAAAGGGAGAUGAAAGGAAGAUGAAAGUAAGUGAUGAGAAUGAGUCAUAUUCCUCAUUAGUUGGUUUCAGUGGUUUCUAGCUAAAUUUGCUUUAUCUCGAGGAUAUUAAGAACCAGUUUGGAGAUUCUUCAUGUCUGCGGUCUUGAGCUUGCAUAAGCCUGGCGGAUGACCAUGCAGUUUUGUUGGUUCUUUGCUUCGGCACAAGUGUUGAAACAUUAUGACGUUCAUUCCAUCCUGUGUUGGACUGUUGAUUCAGUUAAAUUUCAGACUCCUUGUAGAUGCAUGAAUGUUGUGCAUUAGUGUCACUCACAAGCGAGUUAUUAGCUUGUGAAUGACACUAAUUUUAAUUUCAUACUUUUUUUUUAACUGUAAAAAAGUAUAAUUCUGUAAAAAGGCUAAUGGGAAACACAACCGAAUCAAGCAUACCCAGUGUAUUUUACUGAGAAUCAUAAU